rnacentral:lncRNA from 1 species
GUGGGGUUUGGAAGUGAAUCCGUCAUCCAGAGGAGCGGCUAGAUUAUAUUAUAUAUAUAGGGUUUGAAUGUUUUUCUUGAGAUUAUUUUGUGGUGGUAGUUGCCAGAGAAGCCGAGAGAUGCGGGGUGGAAGAUGUAGGAUUCUUGGGGUGGUAUAGGGUUAUUCAUGCUUUGGUUUUGUUAAAAGAAAAUAUAAGAUGAGAGUGCAAGAUAUAGGUACUGUGAGAGUUGGUUUUGGUUAGUGGUAAGGUAGAAAAGAUGGAGAAAAUAAAAGUUAGUGGACUACGCAUGAUAGAGGGAGGUCUCAGUCAUGUUAAGAAUAAUGGAAGAAAGAGAAUGGGGUAGUUGCAUGAAGGUGAGUUAUUAAGAUGUUACGUAAAUGGGGAGUAUUUAGAUGUGCAUUAAAUAUAAUUUUAUAUAUAUAUAUAUAUAUAUAUAUAUAUAUAUAUAUAUAUAUAUAUAUAUAUAUAUAUAUAUAUAUAUAUAUAUAUAAGUUACUAUAAUGUGGAGUUAGGCAUGGUGGGAGUUUUAUUUUGUUUUAAUGGUAUGAUAAGGAUUGUCUGUUUAGGUUAAACGAGAGAAAAGGGAGAGAGCCAUAGAUGAAAAGAAAUAUGGAGGUUGAAUGAGUUUAAGGAAGAAGAAAGAUUUAGUGGGUUAGAGAAAUAAAAAGAAAAUGCUUCUGUAUGGACAACGUUUGUGGAUCUGUGAAUGGUGCACAAUGAGCUAUUACAAGGAGGGGUUUUGUUUUGUCUGUAUGGUAGGGAUUAAGAGAUAAUGGAAAUGGAGAGUGAAUGAAUUAAAUUUUAGUGAUUGAUCAUUAAUUGGUUCGACACAUGAAUCAGAGAACAAUUCUUAGUUUACGUGAUAAUUUUAUUAAGGGAAUGAAUUUCACUUUAUUUUAAUUUUGAGAAAACU